CAGGCUCAGUCCCCUCCCGAU
rnacentral:ncRNA from 2 species